rnacentral:rRNA from 1 species
UUAUGCUCAGGAUGAACGCUAGCGGCAGGCUUAACACAUGCAAGUCGAGGGGCAGCGGGAUGUAGCAAUACAUUGCCGGCGACCGGCGGAUGGGUGCGUAACGCGUAUGCAACCUACCUUAUACAGGGGAAUAACCUUUCGAAAGGGAGACUAACACCCCAUGGUAUUGAUUUAAGGCAUCUUAGAUUAAUUAAAUAUUUAUAGGUAUAAGAUGGGCAUGCGUAUGAUUAGCUAGUUGGUAAGGUAACGGCUUACCAAGGCGACGAUCAUUAGGGGUUCUGAGAGGAAGGUCCCCCCACACUGGUACUGAGACACGGACCAGACUCCUACGGGAGGCAGCAGUGAGGAAUAUUGGUCAAUGGGCGCAAGCCUGAACCAGCCAUGCCGCGUGCAGGAAAGACGGCCUUAUGGGUUGUAAACUGCUUUUACAUAAGACUAACCGUAUAUUUGCGAAUAUACCUGAAUGUAUUAUGAGAAUAAGGAUCGGCUAACUCCGUGCCAGCAGCCGC